CUCCUUUUUUUUUUUUUUUUUAAAGACAGCAUCUCACUCUGUGGCCCAGGCUGGAGUGUGGUGGCACUAUCACAGUUCAUUACAGCCUCAACGUCUCGGACUCAGAUGAUCCUGCCACCUCAAUCUCCCAAGUAGUUGGGACCACAGCCAGACAUACACAUCAGGAUUUCCUGACAGGAACACUUGGUUGAUGUUGGCAGCUGAAGAAGCGAAAGCAUUUUCCUUGGCCAGGCGCAGUGGCUCAUGCCUGUAAUCCCAGCACUUUGGGAGGCCGAGGCAGGAGGAUCACCUGAAGUUGGAAGUUCAAGACCAGUCUGACCAACAUGGAGGUACCCCGUCUCUACUAAGAAUGCAAAAUUAGCCAUGUGUGGUGGUGCAUGCCUGUAAUCUUACCUCCUUGGGAGGCUGAGGCAGAAGAAUCACUUGGACCUGGGAGGCGGAGGUUGUGAUGAGCAGAGGUCGCACCAUUGCACUCCAGCCUGGGCAACAAGAGCGAAACUCUGACUUAAAACAAUAUCAAAAGGAAGAGGGGAAAAUGAAUAGAAGUGUGUAGGAAACAAAAUCCUUAAUGAAAUGUACAUAAUGUGCAAAGUUGAUCUCAAUAUAUAAAUUAUAAGCAUGUUAUUAACAAGCAUAUUAUUAAUUAAUGUGAAUUGAAACCGGUUGCCUCAGGAAAAAUGGUUGACAACCCUUGAAUCUGUGGACAAGUCACAUAAAUCUAAAAGUUUAUACUGUCCACAGUCCUUUCCUUUGGUCCUAAUAUCAGCGCCAACGUGGAUUCACAGCCAAAAGGAGUUCAUGAUGCAUCUCCCAUGGAAAGAGCUUAUACCUCAAACCCACAAGGCUCCCCUCUACAUUCACCACAUGGAGAACAGACCAGCCAAAACCUCUCAGGAGUAAGGAAAGCCAAAGGAGAAACCUCAGGAAGGGCUGGACUGGGCACAUUUGGUUUCCUUGAAGUCACUUAUUAGAUAACUAAGCUAACUCUUCCUCAUGACAGAGAAGAGUGGCUUGGGUCUCUCCCCGCAGGAAGACAUGGCCAGGGGAAUGAAGGUUCUUCCUCGACAGGUGUACUGGAGAUAUUCUACAUCAAUGUUUUAGAAUUCUGUUUGUAAAUAAUGCCAGUUGAAAAUGAUGGUUUUUUUGUGUGUAACUAGUACAAUCCAAAUCAGACAUUUAUUGAACUCUCACUGUGUGUAAAGGAAAAUACUUACCUCUGUAGGAUAGAGGAUAAAGAACUACUAAGAUAAGCACAUAAUGCUUCACAAAAGUACUAAAAAAAAAAUUAAAAAAGUAAAACUGUCACCUUAGAAUUCUGUAUUACAUGAAAAUAUAUUUAUUUUUAUUCAUUUAUUUGCUUGUUUUUGAGACAGGGUCUCCCUCUGUCACCCAGGCGGGAGUGCAGUGGAGCAAUCACAGAUCACUACAGCCUUGACCUCCCAGGCUCAAGUGAUCCUCCCACCUCAUUAUUGUACAUUUUUAAAUGUACAAUAGAUUAUUGUUGAACUGGAAUCCAGCUAGAAUCCAAUUUUUAGAAACUCACUCUAAGGUAAUGAUUAAAAUAUCAGGUGUUAGUUCUAUAAAUCUGUCAUCUAGAUUAAAAACCAGAUGCUUCCAUUCCAGGGUGGAGUAUUUGCCAGUAACUCUCUGGAGAUCUGUCUUAUCUGUGACCAAGACAACGAAGCUUAAAAAAAGGCAAUAAUGUUGGAAAAAGACAUGAAUAUGGUCUGUAUUAAAUUGAUUCUACUUUUUAUUUAGUCAUGACUCUGGACUAACUUUCAAAAAGUAAAAUGUUAUGCCAGCCUAGCAAAUGUUCAUAUCAAAUUCCUCAUUGUUUUCUCUACUCUCCUUUGUCCUGCCCUCCACUUUUGUUUGCUUGGUGAGGCUCACCCUAAAAUAUGUAAAAAUAUGUAAAAUAUGUAAAAAAAAAAUUUAAAAAGCAAUGAUGUUCUGUUGGAAGAAACAAAGGAAAGAAAUAAAAGUUGCAUUUAAAGGGUACAGAAAGAAAUGAUUUUCCUUUUCUGCUUCAAAUGGGAAAAAAAUGUGAUGAGACUUGAAAUAGUGUUUCCAUUUCAAGCCCUGGUGGCUUAUUUAACUU
rnacentral:lncRNA from 1 species